rnacentral:rRNA from 1 species
GAGCCCGCACAAGCAGUGGAGUAUGUGGUUUAAUUCGACGCAACGCGAAGAACCUUACCAGAGCUUGACAUCCACGGAAGGCCGAUGUAAUGUUGGCUGUGCCCUUCGGGGAGCCGUGAGACAGGUGGUGCAUGGUUGUCGUCAGCUCGUGUCGUGAGAUGUUGGGUUAAGUCCCGCAACGAGCGCAACCCUUACGGUCAGUUACUACGAAAGAGGACUCUGGCCGGACUGCCGUUGACAAAACGGAGGAAGGUGGGGAUGACGUCAAAUCAUCAUGCCCCUUACGCCCUGGGCCACACACGUACUACAAUGGCGCAAACAAAGGGAAGCUAAGCCGCGAGGCGGAGCAAACCCCAUAAAAGGCGUCCCAGUUCGGACUGCAGGCUGCAACUCGCCUGCACGAAGUUGGAAUUGCUAGUAAUCGCGGAUCAGCAUGCCGCGGUGAAUACGUUCCCGGGCUUU